GAUGAACGCUGGCGGUCUGCUUAACACAUGCAAGUCGAACGGAAUCCUUAGGGAUUUAGUGGCGGACGGGUGAGUAACACGUAAGAACCUGCCUCUAGGACGGGGACAACAGUUGGAAACGACUGCUAAACCCGGAUGAGCCGAAAGGUAAAAGAUUUAUCGCCUAGAGAGGGGCUUGCGUCUGAUUAGCUAGUUGGUAGGGUAAAGGCUUACCAAGGCGACGAUCAGUAGCUGGUCUGAGAGGAUGAUCAGCCACACUGGGACUGAGACACGGCCCAGACUACUACGGGAGGCAGCAGUGGGGAAUUUUCCGCAAUGGGCGAAAGCCUGACGGAGCAAGACCGCGUGGGGGAGGAAGGUUCUUGGAUUGUCAACCCCUUUUCUCAGGGAAGAACGCAAUGACGGUACCUGAGGAAAAAGCAUCGGCUAACUCCGUGCCAGCCGCCGCAGUAAUAC
rnacentral:rRNA from 1 species